UAAGCGGAGGAAAAGAAACUAACAAGGAUUCCCUUAGUAACGGCGAGUGAAGUGGGAAGAGCUCAAAUUUUAAAUCCCCAAGGUUUCACCUUGGUGAGUUGUAAUUUGAAGAAAGUGUUUUGAUAUUCGGGUUUUACCUAAAUCCUUUGGGAUAGGGUAUCAUAGAGGGUGAGAAUCCCGUUCAUGGUUAAACCUCGGGUGUCACAUAAUUCACUUUCUAAGAGUCGAGUUGUUUGGGAUUGCAGCUCAAAAUGGGUGGUAAAUUUCACCUAAGGCUAAAUACAGGCGAGAGACCGAUAGCGAACAAGUACCGUGAGGGAAAGAUGAAAAGAACUUUGAAAAGAGAGUUAAACAGUACGUGAAAUUGUUGAAAGGGAAACGAUUGAAGCCAGUCGUACUGGCGGGAAAUCAACUUCUCGAGUGCUUGUCGUGGAUUACGUUGAGCUUCACGGCCUUCGUUGUUUGCGUUAUGGUGCUUUUGAGGUGUACUUUUCCGUAUGGUAGGUCAACAUCGAUUUUGAUCGUCAUAAAAUGAUCGGAGGAAUGUGGCUCUGAUUUCGGUUGGAGUGUUAUAGCCUUUGGUAGAUGUGACGAUUGGGAUCGAGGAUUGCAACGAAUACCCUUUGGGCUAUCCGUCUGACCUCUGAAAGUCGCUCGGGUGUUGAAAGCGUGCUUAUGACAUUCUAGUUGGCGGUCAAAAGGUUAGAACGCGAUUACAUUCGUUGAAGGAUGUUGACGUAAAUGGCUUUAAACGACCCGGUCUUGAAACACGGACCAAGGAGUCUAGCAUAUAUGCGAGUGUU
rnacentral:rRNA from 1 species